GUUGGGUUUGGGUGCAGGCACCUGCCGAUUAGUUUCUUUCUGAAUUCCUCUCCUCAGCCUAGCAGAGCCUCUAAUAAGGUAGCGUUACCUGAGCAUCAGUAUUAACAUGGCCUCCUCUUUCCGAGCAUUCUUGAACAGCCCAGUUGGUCCAAAAACAGCCCAUUUUUGCGGACCUGUUGCCAAUUGGGGAUUUGUUGCUGCGGGGCUGGCAGACAUGAACAAACCUCCAGAAAUGAUCUCCGGCAACAUGACAGCAGGUUGAAACUAUGUAUACUCCUGAGAAUUUGGAAUUAGACACUUGAGUGGAGUUCCAUAGGUGUUUGCUAUCAAGCUUUCCAAUAAUAUAUGGAGGACAUUUGAAGAGCUAAAGAUGUAAUAUCCACUUAUUAUAUAUGUUUUUACAAAGAAAAUAUGAUAGCAAAUUCCCAAUAAGUGCACCUAAGUUCGGUCUGUGUUUGAUAAGGCUAAAUCUUCCCUCUAGCCCGUGUUGGUGCCACAGCAAUGUGUGCAUAUUCAGCUUUGUUCAUGAGAUUUGCGUGGAUGGUUCAACCACGCAACUAUCUGGUGCUCGCUUGUCAUGCUUCCAAAGAGACUGUGCAGCUAUACCAACUCUCCCGCUGGGCAAAGGGGAACGGGUACUUGUCAGAGAAGAACGGAGAAGCUGAGUCCAAGUAAAUGGAUCCUGAUUUUGCUGUUGCUAUGCACAUCUUAGUGAAAUAGUCUGACCAGCAGAGUCAUGUAAAGCAGCAUGUUGCCCUUGAUCAUUCAAAU